rnacentral:rRNA from 1 species
UACCAGCACCCCGAGUGGUCGGGACGAUUAUGGGGCCUAAAGCAUCCGUAGCCGGCCUUACAAGUCCUCCGUUAAAUCCAGCUGCUUAACAGAUGGGCUGCGGAGGAUACUAUAAGACUAGGAGGCAGGAGAGGCAAGCGGUACUCAGUGGGUAGGGGUAAAAUCCGUUGAUCCAUUGAAGACCACCAGUGGCGAAGGCGGCUUGCCAGAAUGCGCUCGACGGUGAGGGAUGAAAGCUGGGGGAGCAAACCGG